rnacentral:rRNA from 1 species
CAGUAGCCACGGGAAUACGUAGGUGGCAAGCGUUGUCCGGAAUUAUUGGGCGUAAAGGGCUCGCAGGCGGUUUCUUAAAUCUGAUGUGAAAGCCCCCGGCUCAACCGGGGAGGGUCAUUGGAAACUGGGAAACUUGAGUGCAGAAGAGGAGAGUGGAAUUCCACGUGUAGCGGUGAAAUGCGUAGAGAUGUGGAGGAACACCAGUGGCGAAGGCGACUCUCUGGUCUGUAACUGACGCUGAGGAGCGAAAGCGUGGGGAGCGAACAGGAUUAGAUACCCCCGUAGUCCCUGUCUCUUAUAA